AGAACGAACGCUGGCGGCAUGCCUAACACAUGCAAGUCGAACGAGACCUUCGGGUCUAGUGGCGCACGGGUGCGUAACGCGUGGGAAUCUGCCCUUGGGUUCGGGAUAACAGUUGGAAACGACUGCUAAUACCGGAUGAUGACUUCGGUCCAAAGAUUUAUCGCCCAGGGAUGAGCCCGCGUAGGAUUAGCUAGUUGGUGAGGUAAAGGCUCACCAAGGCGACGAUCCUUAGCUGGUCUGAGAGGAUGAUCAGCCACACUGGGACUGAGACACGGCCCAGACUCCGUACGGGAGGCAGCGAGUGGGGAAUAGUUGGACAAGUGGGACGAAAG
rnacentral:rRNA from 1 species